AUUGAACGCUGGCGGCAUGCUUUACACAUGCAAGUCGAACGGUAACAGGCCGCAAGGUGCUGACGAGUGGCGAACGGGUGAGUAAUGCAUCGGAACGUGCCCAGUCGUGGGGGAUAACUACUCGAAAGAGUAGCUAAUACCGCAUACGAUCUAUGGAUGAAAGCGGGGGACCGUAAGGCCUCGCGCGAUUGGAGCGGCCGAUGUCAGAUUAGGUAGUUGGUGGGGUAAAGGCUCACCAAGCCAACGAUCUGUAGCUGGUCUGAGAGGACGACCAGCCACACUGGGACUGAGACACGGCCCAGACUCCUACGGGAGGCAGCAGUGGGGAAUUUUGGACAAAGGGCGCAAGCCUGAUCCAGCAAUGCCGCGUGCAGGAAGAAGGCCUUCGGGUUGUAAACUGCUUUUGUACGGAACGAAACGGCUCUGGUUAAUACCCGGGGCUAAUGACGGUGCCGUAAGAAUAAGCACCGGCUAACUACGUG
rnacentral:rRNA from 1 species